rfam:West Nile virus strain Rabensburg isolate 97-103, complete genome.
AUGUCUAGGAAACCAGGAGGGCCCGGAGAUAACCGGGCUGUCAAUAUG